UAGUACAAAAUCAUCCACGCAGUGUAAGAUAUUUUUGUCUUAGCACUAACAUAGUUUAUGAAUAUUUUUUUUCUUUAUAAAUCUUUUACUAGUUCAGGAAGUACAGAAGCUAGUUCUGAAUUUGUUGCUAUUUGAUGUUAGAAUUAGGAAUGCUAUAAUGUUGUUAAUUAGUUUAUCUAUGAUUUUGUCUGUAUGCUUUGUCACAUAUUGCUCUACAAUCACCAUUUUCCUCAUUGGAUAAAGGCAAUUUGGGCCCAGCAAUCAUUUAUUCAACACUUACAGUUGCAUUGUUUCAGGCUGAGAAGUUGGUCUUUUGACAACCAUAUUCCUUCACACACACACAGAUGUAAAAUAAGAAUAAAGGUAAGAAAGAAAUAAACCUGGGUUUGACUUCUUCUGUGGUCUUUGAACUUGUUUGUCACUGAAUUUCAACAUCAGUAAACUUUUGCAAUGAUAUGCUCACUUAACAUUGAGUGUGUUUCAUUCGCAAUAAGAUCCUUUUUGCUAGAUCUAGUUAAAAUUUCACCCUGAUUUUUGGCAUUAUACUAAAUACUUUUUAACGUAGUGCUACAAUAAGAGAUAGGCUGUAGCCUGUAGGACCUUUUUUUGCUUAUCACACAAAAAAGGGUAAAUGUCUACAGAAAGUUAGCGGUGGCAACCUUAUUGAAACAAAAUAAAAUUGAAUGAUGUUGAUGGUUUGAAUUGAAAUUCAAUGACUAUGCUGAAAUUGAAUGAAUAAAUUUAGUAAAUUUAAGUGAAAUUAAGCCUAUCCAUAGUUUGUCCAUUUUUAAAAUUUAAUGCUUUGGUCCUUGAAUUUUAUAAAUCUAACACUCAGGUCUAUGGUUCAAGACAUGUUUUGGACCAAAACUACAUGGUUGUGGACCCACAUUUUACUCAUUUUGAGCUGACGAAGGAUUGAAGUCUUUAUAUCUAUAAAACUCAAGGACCAAAAUAUAGAAUUUUGAAAUAUGUACAAUAGCUAAAACCCAAUAAUUUUAGACAGCCCCUCUUCUUAAGAAUAUGAAAUUUUCAUCCGCGGCCUCAUUACACACUUCAGAAGGAGUAAAUGGUAUUGUGCUGUGCUGUUAAUGCCUAAACAAGGUCAUGCUAAAAGAUUUUGCAUUAUUGCUUUAAAUUCAGUUCAUUACCAAUAGUAUUUCUUUCUGCUUGUUCUACAAUUAGUGAUUAUUUGGAUGCUUUUUAAUCCAUUUCUGGAGAUUUUUAAACACUUACCGAUUCCAUAUGUGCCUUGUAAUAUAGGCAGUUAAGGUUUCGAAACCUUUCUUUACUCCACCCCUCCUUUACAUGGAACAAAAGGAUGUACGUGUUCACUUGUUUGUUCUAACCUUUGUGCAGGGAAGUGCUAGGAGACUGGUGAAA
rnacentral:misc_RNA from 1 species